rnacentral:lncRNA from 1 species
AAGUGCUACAUUUUCUCUCUUCUCAUUUAUUCAACCAAACGGGAUUACACUGCUUAAAUAGACUCACACACGUACUGCCCAGCAGCCACUCUCGGCCACUAACAUCACAUACCGACUAAUCUCUAACAAACUGACCCACUCACGCCACUUCACAUGCACCCAUCUAAUCUUAUCUUGACCACUUCUUCCUCCUAGAAUCACUCUAGGCACACGACCCUCACGCAGCUAACAAACUAACUGACUCUCUCAGCUCGGCUAGACAAGAUUAAUCCUAACAUUCACCUCCCUAAUCUUGUCAUGUCAACUCCUCUAAUCUUGAUGCAGAUCACCUGCAACCUUUUGCCAUGAACUUUGCCUUCGCAGCACCGAGACCACACAGGACAUCUUGCUGUGGAUGACGCCGUCACAGCGCCUCUCACCCCACCAUGGAUCUCCACUUGCACCGUCAAUGCACCUGGUCACGUACGUCUUGCCGCCACCAUCGCAGCGACUCAUCUUGGGUAUGGCAUCACACACCGAGGAUAACUUCAUGACGACGAUGGCAUCACACUACCGUCGACUAGCUUUGCGUUGAUCCUCAUGACGACCUCGCGCCGCCGUACAUCUUCUCAGCAGCAUCUCACUGUCGUCUUCUUGGAACGGCAUCUCACCGUCGUCUUCUCGUGGCAGCAUCACACUGUCGUUGCUAGCGCCCGACGGCAUCGCGCCGCCGCCGCACCGAGCGGCAUCGCACCGUCUCCUUCUUGUGGCGGCAUCACACCACCGCCUCCUCCUCGCGGCAUCGCACCGCAGUCUCCUUGUCGCCGCAGCAUCACGCUGUGGCCUCCUCUUGAUGUGGACGACGCCUUUGCGGCGCCGAUCACCACGCCGUCUUGCCACACGCAGCGACCACCUCUUGACGUGCACGACACCUUCUCGAUGCCGAUCAUCACGCCGGCUGAAUCUAGCGGCAUCACACCGCAACUGGCCACCAGCAGCACCACGCCGCUGAUGACCUCCACCUCGCGCCGUCAACCUCCGCAUCACAUGGAGUCCACCGCGCCGCCACGCAGGAGCUCCGCAGCCUCCAUGCCGCCGUGCAGCGCCGCCACGCUCGCCGCGGUGCCGUGCACCUCCAUAGGCCGACACAUGGCCCGGAACUUCAUCGCGCGCCGCUGACGGACGCCGCCACCGUCGGCACGCCUCCGGCCGGCAGGAGCAACGACGCCCCAAGACAACCAAGCUCUGAUACCAAUUGUUGGCGCCGCUCCUCUCGCAGCGCCGACCUUCUUCUUCUACCUCGAGCUGCCUCGCACAACUCUCCUGAGGUUUCUCUCUUCUUCUCUCAAGAACACACGCACACAUGGUUGGAAACUCACACGCACACACACUAGCCAAAGAAAAGAACAAAAGCUUCGCUGAGACUCUCUCCUUUGGCAGCCACAAGUGCUACAUUUUCUCUCUUCUCAUUUAUUCAACCAAACGGGAUUACACUGCUUAAAUAGACUCACACACGUACUGCCCAGCAGCCACUCUCGGCCACUAACAUCACAUACCGACUAAUCUCUAACAAACUGACCCACUCACGCCACUUCACAUGCACCCAUCUAAUCUUAUCUUGACCACUUCUUCCUCCUAGAAUCACUCUAGGCACACGACCCUCACGCAGCUAACAAACUAACUGACUCUCUCAGCUCGGCUAGACAAGAUUAAUCCUAAC